AACGAACGCUGGCGGCAGGCCUAACACAUGCAAGUCGAGCGGACCCUUCGGGGUUAGCGGCGGACGGGUGAGUAACGCGUGGGAAUAUGCCCUUCUCUACGGAAUAGUCCUGGGAAACUGGGGGUAAUACCGUAUACGCCCUUUGGGGGAAAGAUUUAUCGGGGAAGGAUUAGCCCGCGUUGGAUUAGGUAGUUGGUGGGGUAAUGGCCUACCAAGCCGACGAUCCAUAGCUGGUUUGAGAGGAUGAUCAGCCACACUGGGACUGCGACACGGCCCAGACUCCUACGGGAGGCAGCAGUGGGGAAUCUUAGACAAUGGGGGCAACCCUGAUCUAGCCAUGCCGCGUGAGUGAUGAAGGCCUUAGGGUUGUAAAGCUCUUUCAGCUGGGAAGAUAAUGACGGUACCAGCAGAAGAAGCCCCGGCUAACUCCGUG
rnacentral:rRNA from 1 species